rnacentral:rRNA from 1 species
AUCGANAAGACCUUAUGCUUUUGGAGCGGCCGAUGUCUGAUUAGCUAGUUGGUAAGGUAAUGGCUUACCAAGGCGACGAUCAGUAGUUGGUCUGAGAGGACGGCCAGCCACACUGGGACUGAGACACGGCCCAGACUCUACGGGAGGCAGCAGUGGGGAAUUUUGGACAAUGGGCGCAAGCCUGAUCCAGCAAUGCCGCGUGAGUGAAGAAGGCCUUCGGGUUGUAAAGCUCUUUCAGUCGAGAAGAAAAGGUUGUGACUAAUAAUCACAACUCAUGACGGUAUCGACAGAAGAAGCACCGGCUAACUACGUGCCAGCAGCCGCGGUAAUACGUAGGGUGCGAGCGUUAAUCGGAAUUACUGGGCGUAAAGGGUGCGCAGGCGGUUUUGUAAGUCAGAUGUGAAAUCCCCGGGCUUAACCUGGGAACUGCGUUUGANAACUACAA